rnacentral:misc_RNA from 1 species
CUGAGUAAAGGUUUGAAAUAAAGCCUGACCUCCAACCCUUUGAUUAAAUUUACUUUAUGUUGCUUCGGUGAACCCGUGGUUUUGAUUUUUCAAAAUCACAUCGUGUUCAUCGAUAGCCUACAAUUUAAAUUCUUUAAUUAAAAGUACCAGUCUGAAAACCAAUUUAUUUAAUAAAUUAAGUAA